rnacentral:rRNA from 1 species
AGAGUUUGAUCCUGGGACGAACGCUGGCGGCGUGCCUAAUACAUGCAAGUCGAGCGAGCUGAACCAACAGAUUCACUUCGGUGAUGACGUUGGGAACGCGAGCGGCGGAUGGGUGAGUAACACGUGGGGAACCUGCCCCAUAGUCUGGGAUACCACUUGGAAACAGGUGCUAAUACCGGAUAAGAAAGCAGAUCGCAUGAUCAGCUUAUAAAAGGCGGCGUAAGCUGUCGCUAUGGGAUGGCCCCGCGGUGCAUUAGCUAGUUGGUAGGGUAACGGCCUACCAAGGCAAUGAUGCAUAGCCGAGUUGAGAGACUGAUCGGCCACAUUGGGACUGAGACACGGCCCAAACUCCUACGGGAGGCAGCAGUAGGGAAUCUUCCACAAUGGACGAAAGUCUGAUGGAGCAACGCCGCGUGAGUGAAGAAGGUUUUCGGAUCGUAAAGCUCUGUUGUUGGUGAAGAAGGAUAGAGGUAGUAACUGGCCUUUAUUUGACGGUAAUCAACCAGAAAGUCACGGCUAACUACGUGCCAGCAGCCGCGGUAAUACGUAGGUGGCAAGCGUUGUCCGGAUUUAUUGGGCGUAAAGCGAGCGCAGGCGGAAGAAUAAGUCUGAUGUGAAAGCCCUCGGCUUAACCGAGGAACUGCAUCGGAAACUGUUUUUCUUGAGUGCAGAAGAGGAGAGUGGAACUCCAUGUGUAGCGGUGGAAUGCGUAGAUAUAUGGAAGAACACCAGUGGCGAAGGCGGCUCUCUGGUCUGCAACUGACGCUGAGGCUCGAAAGCAUGGGUAGCGAACAGGAUUAGAUACCCUGGUAGUCCAUGCCGUAAACGAUGAGUGCUAAGUGUUGGGAGGUUUCCGCCUCUCAGUGCUGCAGCUAACGCAUUAAGCACUCCGCCUGGGGAGUACGACCGCAAGGUUGAAACUCAAAGGAAUUGACGGGGGCCCGCACAAGCGGUGGAGCAUGUGGUUUAAUUCGAAGCAACGCGAAGAACCUUACCAGGUCUUGACAUCUAGUGUAGAGAUACGGAGUUCCCUUCGGGGACACUAAGACAGGUGGUGCAUGGCUGUCGUCAGCUCGUGUCGUGAGAUGUUGGGUUAAGUCCCGCAACGAGCGCAACCCUUGUCAUUAGUUGCCAGCAUUAAGUUGGGCACUCUAAUGAGACUGCCGGUGACAAACCGGAGGAAGGUGGGGAUGACGUCAAGUCAUCAUGCCCCUUAUGACCUGGGCUACACACGUGCUACAAUGGACAGUACAACGAGGAGCAAGCCUGCGAAGGCAAGCGAAUCUCUUAAAGCUGUUCUCAGUUCGGACUGCAGUCUGCAACUCGACUGCACGAAGCUGGAAUCGCUAGUAAUCGCGGAUCAGCACGCCGCGGUGAAUACGUUCCCGGGCCUUGUACACACCGCCCGUCACACCAUGGGAGUCUGCAAUGCCCAAAGCCGGUGGCCUAACCUUCGGGAAGGAGCCGUCUAAGGCAGGGCAGAUGACUGGGGUGAAGUCGUAACAAGGUAGCCGUAGGAGAACC